UAAGAAGGUCCGGCUAACUUCGUGCCAGCAGCCGCGGUAAUACGAAGGGACCUAGCGUAGUUCGGAAUUACUGGGCUUAAAGAGUUCGUAGGUGGUUAAAAAAGUUGGUGGUGAAAUCCCAGAGCUUAACUCUGGAACUGCCAUCAAAACUUUUUAGCUAGAGUGUGAUAGAGGAAAGCAGAAUUUCUAGUGUAGAGGUGAAAUUCGUAGAUAUUAGAAAGAAUACCGAUUGCGAAGGCAGCUUUCUGGAUCAUUACUGACACUGAGGAACGAAAGCAUGGGUAGCGAAGAGGAUUAGAUACCCUCGUAGUCCAUGCCGUAAACGAUGUGUGUUAGAUGUUGGAAAUUUAUUUUCAGUAUCGCAGCGAAAGCGUUAAACACACCGCCUGGGGAGUACGACCGCAAGGUUAAAACUCAAAUGAAUUGACGGGGACCCGCACAAGUAGUGGAGCAUGUGGUUUAAUUCGAAGAUACGCGCAGAACCUUACCAACACUUGACAUGUUUGUCGCGACUUUAAGAGAUUAAAGUCUUCGGUUCGGCCGGACAAAACACAGGUGCUGCAUGGCUGUCGUCAGCUCGUGUCGUGAGAUGUUGGGUUAAGUCCCGCAACGAGCGCAACCCUCACUUUUAGUUGCCAUCAUUUAGUUGGGCACUCUGAAAGAACUGCCAGUGAUAAGCUGGAGGAAGGUGGGGAUGACGUCAAGUCCUCAUGGCCCUUACGUGUUGGGCUACACACGUGCUACAAUGGCAUUUACAAUAGGAAGCAAGACGGCGACGUCAAGCAAAUCCUAAAAAAAUGCCUCAGUUCGGAUUGUACUCUGCAACUCGAGUACAUGAAGCUGGAAUUACUAGUAAUCGCGGAUCAGCGCGC
rnacentral:rRNA from 1 species